UACGUAGGGUGCAAGCGUUGUCCGGAAUUAUUGGGCGUAAAGAGCUCGUAGGCGGUUUGUCGCGUCUGCUGUGAAAACGCGAGGCUCAACCUCGCGCCUGCAGUGGGUACGGGCAGACUAGGGUGCGGUAGGGGAGAUUGGAAUUCCUGGUGUAGCGGUGGAAUGCGCAGAUAUCAGGAGGAACACCGAUGGCGAAGGCAGAUCUCUGGGCCGUUACUGACGCUGAGGAGCGAAAGCGUGGGGAGCGAACAGG
rnacentral:rRNA from 1 species